GAUGAACGCUGGCGGCGUGCUUAACACAUGCAAGUCGAACGAAGCACUUUAACCUGAUUCUUCUGAUGAAGGUUUUUGUGACUGAGUGGCGGACGGGUGAGUAACGCGUGGGUAACCUGCCUCAUACAGGGGGAUAACAGUUAGAAAUGACUGCUAAUACCGCAUAAGACCACAGAGCCGCAUUGCUCGGUGGGAAAAACUCCGGUGGUAUGAGAUGGACCCGCGUCUGAUUAGGUAGUUGGUGGGGUAACGGCCUACCAAGCCAACGAUCAGUAGCCGACCUGAGAGGGUGACCGGCCACAUUGGGACUGAGACCCGGCCCAAACUCCUACGGGAGGCAGCAGUGGGGAAUAUUGCACAAUGGGGGAAACCCUGAUGCAGCGACGCCGCGUGAGCGAAGAAGUAUUUCGGUAUGUAAAGCUCUAUCAGCAGGGAAGAAAAUGACGGUACCUGACUAAGAAGCACCGGCUAAAUACGUG
rnacentral:rRNA from 1 species